UUCACUAAAAGUAAACAUAUAUUAUUGAUAAACAGAAAAAACAGCUACAGGACAACACCAACAUUUUAUGCCAUGUAAUAUAAAACUGAUUUUCUAACAAUGUGAAAUAGAGAGUACCAAACCUAUGAAGUUAUGUAUGGUAAAUGAUCCUAAGAAAGUGGGGGAAUAGAAAUUAGAAGCAGUCUGGUCAAGUGAAAGGGAAGAAAAAAAAAAAAAGGCCAAGCCAUAGGGAAGGGUCCCAAAGACCAAUUCCAAAGAAGGAAUAAUAAUUGGUCACACCACACAUACAGAGUGAUGAUACCUUC
rnacentral:lncRNA from 1 species